GACACUACGGUGUUGAGAGGUUCCCUAGAGACGAUGGGGUUGAUAGGCCGGAUGUGGAAGCUCAGUAAUGAGUGAAGCUGACCGGUACUAAUAAACCGACAACUUAAAACAU
rnacentral:ncRNA from 1 species